AAAUUCCAAAAUGAAAGUGAAAUAUGCUGCACAAGUUUUCAGCCAAAGGGUAUCAUCAGCAUUGAGAUUCUUAGCAAAACACAACCUUCUUCCGGCGGAGUGCGAAGAAACUGCUGAUUUUCUACUCAUUA